UACAGAGGGGGCCAGCGUUAUUCGGAAUUAUUGGGCGUAAAGGGCGCGUAGGCGGCUUUGCGUGUCUUUCGUGAAAUCCCUCGGCUCAACUGAGGACGUGCGGAAGAAACUGCAGGGCUGGAGUCCGGGAGAGGAGGGUGGAAUUCCCAGUGUAGCGGUGGAAUGCGUAGAGAUCCGGAAGAACACCGGUGGCGAAGGCGGCCUGCUGGGCAGUAGCUGACGCUGAGGCGCGACAGCGUGGGGAGCAAACAGG
rnacentral:rRNA from 1 species